rnacentral:rRNA from 1 species
AUUGAACGCUGGCGGCAGGCCUAACACAUGCAAGUCGGACGGUAGCACAGAGAGCUUGCUCUUGGGUGACGAGUGGCGGACGGGUGAGUAAUGUCUGGGGAUCUGCCCGAUAGAGGGGGAUAACCACUGGAAACGGUGGCUAAUACCGCAUAACGUCGCAAGACCAAAGAGGGGGACCUUCGGGCCUCUCACUAUCGGAUGAACCCAGAUGGGAUUAGCUAGUAGGCGGGGUAAUGGCCCACCUAGGCGACGAUCCCUAGCUGGUCUGAGAGGAUGACCAGCCACACUGGAACUGAGACACGGUCCAGACUCCUACGGGAGGCAGCAGUGGGGAAUAUUGCACAAUGGGCGCAAGCCUGAUGCAGCCAUGCCGCGUGUAUGAAGAAGGCCUUCGGGUUAUAAAGUACUUUCAGCGGGGAGGAAGGCGGUGAGGUUAAUAACCUCACCGAUUGACGUUACCCGCAGAAGAAGCACCGGCUAACUCCGUGCCAGCCGCCGCAGUAA